UAGGGAAUCUUCCACAAUGGACGAAAGUCUGAUGGAGCAACGCCGCGUGAGUGAAGAAGGGUUUCGGCUCGUAAAGCUCUGUUGGUAGUGAAGAAGAUAGAGGUAGUAACUGGUCCUUUAUUUGACGGUAAUUACUUAGAAAGUCACGGCUAACUACGUGCC
rnacentral:rRNA from 1 species